rnacentral:rRNA from 1 species
GAGUUUGAACCUGGCUCAGGAUGAACGCUGGCGGCGUGCCUAAUACAUGCAAGUCGAGCGAACCACUUCGGUGGUGAGCGGCGAACGGGUGAGUAACACGUAGGUGAUCUGCCCAUCAGACGGGGACAACGAUUGGAAACGAUCGCUAAUACCGGAUAGGACGAAAGUUUAAAGGUGCUUCUGGCACCGCUGAUGGAUGAGCCUGCGGCGCAUUAGCUAGUUGGUAGGGUAAAGGCCUACCAAGGCGACGAUGCGUAGCCGACCUGAGAGGGUGAACGGCCACACUGGGACUGAGACACGGCCCAGACUCCUACGGGAGGCAGCAGUAGGGAAUCUUCGGCAAUGGGCGAAAGCCUGACCGAGCAACGCCGCGUGAAUGAUGAAGGCCUUCGGGUUGUAAAAUUCUGUUAUAAGGGAGGAACGACUUUAGUAGGAAAUGGCUAGAGUGUGACGGUACCUUAUGAGAAAGCCACGGCUAACUACGUGCCAGCAGCCGCGGUAAUACGUAGGUGGCGAGCGUUAUCCGGAAUUAUUGGGCGUAAAGAGCGCGCAGGUGGUUGAUUAAGUCUGAUGUGAAAGCCCACGGCUUAACCGUGGAGGGUCAUUGGAAACUGGUCGACUUGAGUGCAGAAGA